rnacentral:rRNA from 1 species
CCCUUAGAUGUCCUGGGCCGCACGCGUGCUACACUGACGCAUACAACGAGUAUUUCCAGCUCCGAGAGGUAGCUGGUAAUCAGCAAUAUGCGUCGUGAUGGGGAUUGAUCUUUGGAAUUGUGGAUCAUGAACGAGGAAUGCCUAGUAAGCGCAGUUCAUCAAACUGCGUUGAUUAAGUCCCUGCCCUUUGUACACACCGCCCGUCGCUCCUACCGAUUUCGAGUGGUCCGGUGAACCUUUCGGACUGAGAGUGGCCUCGAGUCGCUUUUAGAAAGUCAAGUAAACCACNUNACUUAANGGAAGGAGAANUCGUANCA